UACGAAGGACCCAAGCGUUAUCCGGAUUUAUUGGGUUUAAAGGGUGCGUAGGCGGAUUAUUAAGUCAGUGGUGAAAGCCUGCAGCUUAACUGCAGAACUGCCAUUGAUACUGAUGAUCUUGAGUAUGAUUGAGGUGGGCGGAAUGUGUCAUGUAGCGGUGAAAUGCUUAGAUAUGACACAGAACACCGAUUGCGAAGGCAGCUCACUAAGCCAUAACUGACGCUGAUGCACGAAAAGCCGUGGGGGAGCAAACAGG
rnacentral:rRNA from 1 species